UCCAAACGUCAUCACGGCGCGACAAGGAAGCGCCUCUGUGAGCGUCCUUCACUUUGCUCUAUACUACAAACACCCGAGCAGGUUACAAAAGUCUGGCGUUUGUGGAGUACAAGUAGCUCUGAGCGGGUUGUCGGGCUUUAUGGAGUAAACGUGGCAGACUGAAGGGAGACGUGCUGUGAGCAGUUUCAGUGUUUUUAUUCAUGAUGACAGCUCCAAACUCAGCAGAAAGGAAGGCCUGCUGGGACGCCAGGGACCAUCUCUGGAAGUGUUUGGAUGAUAAUGAUGACAAUGUUGCAUCGUGCCAGAGGUUCCAGAGCGAAUUUGAGGCCAAAUGCCCGGCCCAGUGAAGUAUUUUACCAAAAGGAGAGACUUCUUGAAAUACAAGGAGAAGAUGCAGACUGAGGGAUUCGCACCUGCUGAAGGCCCCCAGGGGGCAUCCUAAUCACUACUCAACUACAAACCAUCAAGAGCUGCAAGCUUGCCUGAGGUGCAGGACUUGGACAGGAGCUCGUAGUUUUGUUGUGGACAGAGUGCGUGAAGAUCAUACUAAUAAUGUUAUUUAUUUUUAAAAAUAAAGGCUGCUUUAGGAAAUACAAGUGGCAGCACAAGGGACCUGUUUGAAAAUCCUCAUAUCUUCCAUCCCCGGAAAUGCUAAAGGGUCCAGACUUAUGGAGUCCAGUAGGAUUUCACCUCAAAGUAACGUGUCAUUUUGUCACUUUGGAUAGAUUUUAGUAUCGUUACUUCCUGCUGGAAAUCUGGAGUCUCAGGUUCAACCUGUUGCCAUUAGUUAUCCUAACACUGUCCAAUUUUCAUGUUUCUGUGGUUCUGUUCAAGCAAAACUAUUUUCUUUUUCCUACCGCGUCUGUAUUUCUCUGAGCAGAACAGACAAUCAUCUUCUACUUCUGCAUCUGCCUGGUGUUUUUGUUAAAAAUAUACUUAUGUGAUUAGCAAAUAAGGGCUGAUCUGAUAGUGGAGUUUUAAACUCUUUACCUAAAUUUUUCAAAACUCUUAAAAGCUUCAAUGAGUUGUGUCAUUCACGAAUAAAUCAAAACAACAGAGUGGUUUUAGUGGUUUUAUUGUUGCACAUGAAGUAAUAUUGGAUCAUCCUGACUCCUAGGUUGUGUUGUGGCUGGAUAUGAACGCACUAUCAGGGUCAACCAAAAUUUAAGAAUGUUACAGCUCAUUUGAAACAGGCAAAGACAUAGUAUGCUUAUAUUACAAGUCUUUAAAGUAUUUACAGAAGAGCGUGGCCCCUGGGUCAAAGGUCACUGCUGUAACACAACUGAGAUGUAUGAAACCUUCAGGAGAAGUGAAUAAAUUACACAAGAAAAAGACAUGCUUCUGAUUGAGGCUACGCUAAAGGCCCAUACGGUACUUACAAUGCCGCGAUAUAAAAAAAAAAAGUGACUAAUGACACUUAAAAUCUGUGUACAAAUAUAUAAAGGCAUAUAUUUUACAUUUCUGCACAGUACAGCGAGUGUUUUGUGCAAACCUUUUUUGUGAUUUGACAGUUGAUUGAACAAACUACUGCACCCUUCCACCCCUUGCUUGCACAGUCUUUUCCUUAAACGCUUUCUUUGCGUGCUGCAUUAAAGAACACUUCAGUACCCAGAGGGAAUCUGCAGCCUCCCACAGUGGCAUUUCAUUUUUUUUCUUUACAUGCCAUGAGAAAUGUUGCUCCUCCCAGGAGACAAUGAAAAAGAACAAAAAAAACGGUCACGCUAUGGUGUGACACGUGAAAGAUUUUGUGAAACCGAUUUUUCUGCAGUUACUAAAAAAGCUUUCUGUAUUUCAUAAAGAUCCUUUGUUAGUGUUUGACUAACGUGAGCGCCACAGUUAAAGCUCAUACUUCAAUAAGUAGGUAAAAUAUCUUGUUCGACUUGAUCUACCUUUAAAAAUUUCCAGAUCAUUUCAACAUGUGACAUAAAAGUAAAUCAGCGCACAGACAAAGGGUUUGUUCGUAGGAUCCAAAACACCCUGCUGAGUUCACUGGGUAAUGACCAGAGUCGGUGUACAAGCUUCUGCGAUGAGGAAAAGAACGUUCUGGCAUAGGUCGAGCAGAAA